UACGUAGGGGGCAAGCGUUGUUCGGAAUUACUGGGCGUAAAGGGCGCGUAGGCGGCACGGCAAGUCGGGAGUGAAAGGCCUGGGCUCAACCGAGGAACUGCUUUCGAGACUGCCGAGCUAGAGUGCGGAAGGGGCAACCGGAAUUCCCAGUGUAGCGGUGAAAUGCGUAGAUAUUGGGAAGAACACCUGAGGCGAAGGCGGGUUGCUGGGCCGACACUGACGCUGAGGAGCGAAAGCGUGGGGAGCGAACAGG
rnacentral:rRNA from 1 species